GACGAACGCUGGCGGCGUGCUUAACACAUGCAAGUCGAACGGAAAGGCCCUGCAUUUGUGGUGUGCUCGAGUGGCGAACGGGCGAGUAACACGUGAGUAACCUGCCCUUGACUUUGGGAUAACUUCAGGAAACUGGGGCUAAUACCGGAUAGGUGCUCCUGCUUCAUGGUGGGGGUUGGAAAGUUUCGGCGGUUGGGGAUGAACUCGGGGCUUAUUAGAUUGUUGGUGGGGUAGUGGCUUACCAAGGCUUCGAUAGGUAGCCGGCCUGGGAGGGUGACCGGAGCGAGUGGGAAUGAGACACGGCCCAGACUGCUACGGGAGGGAGCAGUGGGGAAUAGUGCGAAAUGGGGGAAACCCUGACGCAGCAACGCCGCGUGAGUGAAGAAGGCCGUCGGGGUGUAAAGAUCUUUAAUAAGGGACGAAACCAAUGACGGUACCUGAAGAAUAAGCUCCGGCUAACUACGUG
rnacentral:rRNA from 1 species